UUAAAUUGAAGAGUUUGAUCAUGGCUCAGAUUGAACGCUGGCGGCAGGCCUAACACAUGCAAGUCGAACGGUAGCACAGAGAGCUUGCUCUCGGGUGACGAGUGGCGGACGGGUGAGUAAUGUCUGGGAAACUGCCUGAUGGAGGGGGAUAACUACUGGAAACGGUAGCUAAUACCGCAUAACGUCGCAAGACCAAAGAGGGGGACCUUCGGGCCUCUUGCCAUCAGAUGUGCCCAGAUGGGAUUAGCUAGUAGGUGGGGUAACGGCUCACCUAGGCGACGAUCCCUAGCUGGUCUGAGAGGAUGACCAGCCACACUGGAACUGAGACACGGUCCAGACUCCUACGGGAGGCAGCAGUGGGGAAUAUUGCACAAUGGGCGCAAGCCUGAUGCAGCCAUGCCGCGUGUAUGAAGAAGGCCUUCGGGUUGUAAAGUACUUUCAGCGGGGAGGAAGGUGUUGUGGUUAAUAACCACAGCAAUUGACGUUACCCGCAGAAGAAGCACCGGCUAACUCCGUGCCAGCAGCCGCGGUAAUACGGAGGGUGCAAGCGUUAAUCGGAAUUACUGGGCGUAAAGCGCACGCAGGCGGUCUGUCAAGUCGGAUGUGAAAUCCCCGGGCUCAACCUGGGAACUGCAUUCGAAACUGGCAGGCUAGAGUCUUGUAGAGGGGGGUAGAAUUCCAGGUGUAGCGGUGAAAUGCGUAGAGAUCUGGAGGAAUACCGGUGGCGAAGGCGGCCCCCUGGACAAAGACUGACGCUCAGGUGCGAAAGCGUGGGGAGCAAACAGGAUUAGAUACCCUGGUAGUCCACGCCGUAAACGAUGUCGAUUUGGAGGUUGUGCCCUUGAGGCGUGGCUUCCGGAGCUAACGCGUUAAAUCGACCGCCUGGGGAGUACGGCCGCAAGGUUAAAACUCAAAUGAAUUGACGGGGGCCCGCACAAGCGGUGGAGCAUGUGGUUUAAUUCGAUGCAACGCGAAGAACCUUACCUGGUCUUGACAUCCACAGAACUUUCCAGAGAUGGAUUGGUGCCUUCGGGAACUGUGAGACAGGUGCUGCAUGGCUGUCGUCAGCUCGUGUUGUGAAAUGUUGGGUUAAGUCCCGCAACGAGCGCAACCCUUAUCCUUUGUUGCCAGCGGUCCGGCCGGGAACUCAAAGGAGACUGCCAGUGAUAAACUGGAGGAAGGUGGGGAUGACGUCAAGUCAUCAUGGCCCUUACGACCAGGGCUACACACGUGCUACAAUGGCGCAUACAAAGAGAAGCGACCUCGCGAGAGCAAGCGGACCUCAUAAAGUGCGUCGUAGUCCGGAUUGGAGUCUGCAACUCGACUCCAUGAAGUCGGAAUCGCUAGUAAUCGUAGAUCAGAAUGCUACGGUGAAUACGUUCCCGGGCCUUGUACACACCGCCCGUCACACCAUGGGAGUGGGUUGCAAAAGAAGUAGGUAGCUUAACCUUCGGGAGGGCGCUUACCACUUUGUGAUUCAUGACUGGGGUGAAGUCGUAACAAGGUAACCGUAGGGGAACCUGCGGUUGGAUCACCUCCUUACCUUAAAGAA
rnacentral:rRNA from 1 species